rnacentral:rRNA from 1 species
UACGUAUGGUGCGAGCGUUGUCCGGAAUUAUUGGGCGUAAAGGGUACGUAGGCGGUUUAACAAGUCAGAUGUUAAAACUUGAGGCUUAACCUCAUGUUGCAUUUGAAACUGUAAAACUUGAGUAGUGGAGAGGAAAGUGGAAUUCCUAGUGUAGCGGUGAAAUGCGUAGAUAUUAGGAGGAAUACCAGUAGCGAAGGCGACUUUCUGGACACAAACUGACGCUGAGGUACGAAAGCGUGGGGAGCAAACA